rnacentral:rRNA from 1 species
GAUGAACGCUGGCGGCGUGCCUAAUACAUGCAAGUCGAGCGAACGGACGAGAAGCUUGCUUCUCUGAUGUUAGCGGCGGACGGGUGAGUAACACGUGGAUAACCUACCUAUAAGACUGGGAUAACUUCGGGAAACCGGAGCUAAUACCGGAUAAUAUUUUGAACCGCAUGGUUCAAAAGUGAAAGACGGUCUUGCUGUCACUUAUAGAUGGACCCGCGCUGCAUUAGCUAGUUGGUAAGGUAACGGCUUACCAAGGCAACGAUGCAUAGCCGACCUGAGAGGGUGAUCGGCCACACUGGAACUGAGACACGGUCCAGACUCCUACGGGAGGCAGCAGUAGGGAAUCUUCCGCAAUGGGCGAAAGCCUGACGGAGCAACGCCGCGUGAGUGAUGAAGGUCUUCGGAUCGUAAAACUCUGUUAUUAGGGAAGAACAUAUGUGUAAGUAACUGUGCACAUCUUGACGGUACCUAAUCAGAAAGCCACGGCUAACUACGUGCCAGCAGCCGCGGUAAUACGUAGGUGGCAAGCGUUAUCCGGAAUUAUUGGGCGUAAAGCGCGCGUAGGCGGUUUUUUAAGUCUGAUGUGAAAGCCCACGGCUCAACCGUGGAGGGUCAUUGGAAACUGGAAAACUUGAGUGCAGAAGAGGAAAGUGGAAUUCCAUGUGUAGCGGUGAAAUGCGCAGAGAUAUGGAGGAACACCAGUGGCGAAGGCGACUUUCUGGUCUGUAACUGACGCUGAUGUGCGAAAGCGUGGGGAUCAAACAGGAUUAGAUACCCUGGUAGUCCACGCCGUAAACGAUGAGUGCUAAGUGUUAGGGGGUUUCCGCCCCUUAGUGCUGCAGCUAACGCAUUAAGCACUCCGCCUGGGGAGUACGACCGCAAGGUUGAAACUCAAAGGAAUUGACGGGGACCCGCACAAGCGGUGGAGCAUGUGGUUUAAUUCGAAGCAACGCGAAGAACCUUACCAAAUCUUGACAUCCUUUGACAACUCUAGAGAUAGAGCCUUCCCCUUCGGGGGACAAAGUGACAGGUGGUGCAUGGUUGUCGUCAGCUCGUGUCGUGAGAUGUUGGGUUAAGUCCCGCAACGAGCGCAACCCUUAAGCUUAGUUGCCAUCAUUAAGUUGGGCACUCUAAGUUGACUGCCGGUGACAAACCGGAGGAAGGUGGGGAUGACGUCAAAUCAUCAUGCCCCUUAUGAUUUGGGCUACACACGUGCUACAAUGGACAAUACAAAGGGCAGCGAAACCGCGAGGUCAAGCAAAUCCCAUAAAGUUGUUCUCAGUUCGGAUUGUAGUCUGCAACUCGACUACAUGAAGCUGGAAUCGCUAGUAAUCGUAGAUCAGCAUGCUACGGUGAAUACGUUCCCGGGUCU